GACGAACCUAAGAGGCGUGCUUAACACAUGCAAGUCGAACGGAAAGGCCCUGCUUUUGUGGGGUGCUCGAGUGGCGAACGCUUGAGUAACACGUGAGUAACCUGCCCUUGACUUUGGGAUAACUUCAGGAAACUGGGGCUAAUACCGGAUAGGAGCUCCUGCUGCAUGGUGGGGGUUGGAAAGUUUCGGCGGUUGGGGAUGGACUCGCGGCUUAUCAGCUUGUUGGUGGGGUAGUGGCUUACCAAGGCUUUGACGGGUAGCCGGCCUGAGAGGGUGACCGGCCACAUUGGGACUGAGAUACGGCCCAGACUCCUACGGGAGGCAGCAGUGGGGAAUAUUGCACAAUGGGCGGAAGCCUGAUGCAGCAACGCCGCGUGCGGGAUGACGGCCUUCGGGUUGUAAACCGCUUUCGCCUGUGACGAAGCGUGAGUGACGGUAAUGGGUAAAGAAGCACCGGCUAACUACGUGCCAGCAGCCGCGGUGAUACGUAGGGUGCGAGCGUUGUCCGGAUUUACUGGGCGUAAAGGGCUCGUAGGUGGUUGAUCGCGUCGGAAGUGUAAUCUUGGGGCUUAACCCUGAGCGUGCUUUCGAUACGGGUUGACUUGAGGAAGGUAGGGGAGAAUGGAAUUCCUGGUGGAGCGGUGGAAUGCGCAGAUAUCAGGAGGAACACCAGUGGCGAAGGCGGUUCUCUGGGCCUUUCCUGACGCUGAGGAGCGAAAGCGUGGGGAGCGAACAGGCUUAGAUACCCUGGUAGUCCACGCUGUAAACGGUGGGUACUAGGUGUGGGGUCCAUUCCACGGGUUCCGUGCCGUAGCUAACGCUUUAAGUACCCCGCCUGGGGAGUACGGCCGCAAGGCUAAAACUCAAAGGAAUUGACGGGGCCCCGCACAAGCGGCGGAGCAUGCGGAUUAAUUCGAUGCAACGCGUAGAACCUUACCUGGGUUUGACAUGGAUCGGGAGUGCUCAGAGAUGGGUGUGCCUCUUUUGGGGUCGGUUCACAGGUGGUGCAUGGCUGUCGUCAGCUCGUGUCGUGAGAUGUUGGGUUAAGUCCCGCAACGAGCGCAACCCUUGUUCACUGUUGCCAGCACGUUAUGGUGGGGACUCAGUGGAGACCGCCGGGGUCAACUCGGAGGAAGGUGGGGAUGACGUCAAGUCAUCAUGCCCCUUAUGUCCAGGGCUUCACGCAUGCUACAAUGGCUGGUACAGAGAGUGGCGAGCCUGUGAGGGUGAGCGAAUCUCGGAAAGCCGGUCUCAGUUCGGAUUGGGGUCUGCAACUCGACCUCAUGAAGUCGGAGUCGCUAGUAAUCGCAGAUCAGCAACGCUGCGGUGAAUACGUUCCCGGGGCU
rnacentral:rRNA from 1 species